CGGUUGAAAAGUUUUUUGAAAUUAGGGGUUGCAGGCUGUCAGGAACUCCCUAUAAUGCGCCUCCACU
rnacentral:rRNA from 1 species